AGGCGCUGGCGGAGGCGGCAGCCUCCUAGCACCUCUUACAGCUGCCGCCGCAGACGCCAACCCGGGCGGAGGGGGCGCAGGCGUUAGUAGUGCCCACCACCACGUUGCUGUUGCUGGGGACGCUACUGACUCUGGUGGAGACAACAGGGGCAGUAGUGGAGGCGCAGAGAUCGCCACAGACAACGCCACCGCGGGAGCUGCUGACGCCUGCAGGGGAAAGAGACGGAGGCGCGCGUCAGGCGCAGCCGCGACCUGGGUGAGUGGCUUUGCUGCGAGCCCACGCGCCCUUUGCCCAGAGGCUCCCAGACCCGCCCAGCGGGAGGAGGGGACGGACCCCACUACUUACAGACAUUCACCGAGCCGACGCCCUCGCACAGCCUGCAGGGAGAGAAGGCGAGAGGGCCAAGGGCCUGACUGUCCACAAAAAAAAAGGAGCUUCGAGUGAGACCAACUGACCAACUAGGGGAAAGAAACCAAGGGCAAAGAAUGAGCUCACAUUCUGGGAGUGUUGUCCUUCUGGGAGCAGGAGCUGUAUAGCUGCCCUCCAGCUGUAUCGCUGGCCUCCAGCCAUAGGAAGGCUGAGUGACCAAUGGGUCUUCUCCACUCCCCCCACCUCUGAAGCAAGCAAACAAGCAAAAAUCCUGAAAGCAAGGCAUAACUGCCCCAAGGGAUAAGUCCUUGCUCUCUGCCUAACUCAUUCCCACCUGCCACAAUGGAAUACCACUUUGGGAUGCUCAUUGGCACUAUAAUAGAAAAGCAUGAGUUGAUAGUGUCAUCUAUCUGAAGCUGUCCUUAUGGGAUACAUCUGAACUCCCAGGUCUAGAUGGGGCCAGGGCCAGACUAGGAAAAAGAGAAGGAAUCCU
rnacentral:lncRNA from 1 species